GUGAGGAAUAUUGGUCAAUGGGCGGGAGCCUGAACCAGCCAAGCCGCGUGAGGGAAGAAGGCCCUAUGGGUCGUAAACCUCUUUUGUCAGGGAACAAAAGCCGAUAUGUAUAUUGGUGUGAGUGUACCUGAAGAAAAAGCAUCGGCUAACUCCGUGCCAGCAGCCGCGGUAAUACGGAGGAUGCGAGCGUUAUCCGGAUUUAUUGGGUUUAAAGGGUGCGUAGGCGGCGGUGCAAGUCAGCGGUAAAAGCCCGGGGCUCAACCCCGGCGAGCCGUUGAAACUGCAGUGCUAGAGAAGGCGAGAGGUACGCGGAAUGCGCAGUGUAGCGGUGAAAUGCUUAGAUAUUGCGCAGAACUCCGAUUGCGAAGGCAGCGUACUGGCGCCUGACUGACGCUGAGGCACGAAAGCGUGGGGAUCGAACAGGAUUAGAAACCCUAGUAGUCC
rnacentral:rRNA from 1 species